AUCGGGCUCAGUGACGCGUCCCUGUAGUCCCAGCUACUCAGGAGGCUGAGGCUGGAGGAUCUCUUGAGCCCAGGAGUUCUGGGCUGUAGUGUUCUAUGCUGAUCAGGUGUCCGCACUAAGUUCGGCAUCAAUAUGGUGACCUCCCGGGAGCUGGGGACUACCAGAUUGCCUAAGGAGGGGUGAACUGGCCCACAUCGGAAAUGGAGCAGGUCAAAACUCCCUUGCUGAUCAGUAGUGGGAUUGUGCCUGUGAAUAGCCACUGCACUCCAGCCUGGGCAACGUAGUGAGACCCCGUCUCU
ensembl:misc_RNA Metazoa_SRP Metazoan signal recognition particle RNA